rnacentral:rRNA from 1 species
CCUACGGGUGGCUGCAGUGGGGAAUAUUGGACAAUGGGGGGAACCCUGAUCCAGCCAUGCCGCGUGUGUGAAGAAGGCCCUCGGGUUGUAAAGCACUUUCAGUGAGGAAGAACGCCUGGUGGUUAAUACCCAUCAGGAAAGACAUCACUCACAGAAGAAGCACCGGCUAACUCCGUGCCAGCAGCCGCGGUAAUACGGAGGGUGCGAGCGUUAAUCGGAAUUACUGGGCGUAAAGCGCGCGUAGGUGGCUUGAUAAGCCGGUUGUGAAAGCCCCGGGCUCAACCUGGGAACGGCAUCCGGAACUGUCAAGCUAGAGUGCAGGAGAGGAAGGUAGAAUUCCCGGUGUAGCGGUGAAAUGCGUAGAGAUCGGGAGGAAUACCAGUGGCGAAGGAGGCCUUCUGGACUGACACUGAAACUGAGGUGCGAAAGCGUGGGUAGCAAACAGGAUUAGAUACCCGAGUAGUC